AAAAUGCUGAAUUAUUGGAAAUGAAUUUAUUUCCAUUUGGCAAGGAAGCUUCUGCACUGCUGCAUCAAGGAAAUUUCUCGUUUCCUGAACGUAGCAAUCAUAUCAUUUCUGGAAUGGUAAGGGGUUUAGUGUAUAGGUUUUAUCAUCUAGCAAUUUGAUAUUCAUGUUGGAAAAUAAAAUAUCGGGGGCUUGCACUGAAUUCUUGUAUUGAAACAGGCGCUCAGAGCUUUUAGAUUUGUGUAUUUACUGCAAAUAAUACCUAGAAUCGCUUCAUUUACUUAGAGGAUAUAUAUAUAUAUUCCUUGUUUUGUUCUCAACAACAUUUCUCUGCCCAAA
rnacentral:misc_RNA from 1 species